UACGUAGGUGGCGAGCGUUGUUCGGAUUUAUUGGGCGUAAAGGGUUCGUAGGAGGUUGGGUAAAUUUGACGUGAAAUCCCGGAGCUCAACUCUGGAACUGCGUUGGAGACUGCCCGACUAGAGGAUUGGAGAGGUAAGCGGAAUACCAGGUGUAGCGGUGGAAUGCGUAGAUAUCUGGUAGAACACCAAAAGCGAAGGCAGCUUACUGGACAAUAACUGACUCUGAAGGACGAAAGCGUGGGGAGCAAACAGGAUUAGAUACCCUGGUAGUCCACGCCCUAAACGAUGUCAACUGGAUGUUGGGCGGGUUAAACCGCUUAGUGUCGUAGCUAACGCGUGAAGUUGACCGCCUGGGGAGUACGGCCGCAAGGCUAAA
rnacentral:rRNA from 1 species